ACCUACGGGAGGCAGCAGUGGGGAAUAUUGGGCAAUGGGCGCAAGCCUGACCCAGCAACGCCGCGUGAAGGAAGAAGGCUUUCGGGUUGUAAACUUCUUUUCUCAGGGACGAAGAAAGUGACGGUACCUGAGGAAUAAGCCACGGCUAACUACGUGCCAGCAGCCGCGGUAAUACGUAGGUGGCAAGCGUUAUCCGGAUUUACUGGGUGUAAAGGGCGUGUAGGCGGGACUGCAAGUCAGAUGUGAAAACCACGGGCUCAACCUGUGGCCUGCCUUUGAAACUUGAGUUCUUGGGUACUGGAGAG
rnacentral:rRNA from 1 species